rnacentral:rRNA from 1 species
GUGUAAGUUAUUAAGGGCACACGGUGGAUGCCUUGGCAUUAAGAGCCGAUGAAGGACGUGUGAAUCUGCGAUAAGCCUCGGGGAGCCGAUAACUGGGCUGUGAUCCGAGGAUUUCCGAAUGGGGAAACCUGGCUCAUCUUCAUGGUGAGUUACCGCCAGCUGAAUGUAUAGGCUGGUUGGGGGGAACGCGGGGAAGUGAAACAUCUCAGUACCCGCAGGAAGAGAAAAUAAAGUAAUGAUUCUGUGAGUAGUGGCGAGCGAAAGCGGAAGAGACUAAACCUGUGGUGUGUGAUAGCGGUUAGGCGUUGCAUCAUGGGGGUUGUGGGAGUCACAGUGGCAGUUCUAACUGGCUGCCGGCAUGAUGUUCAGGAUGGUAGGUGAACGACUUGGAAUGGUCGGCCGUAGAGGGUGAGAGUCCCGUAAUCGAAAUUGUUCUGUCCGUGGUGUGGCCACCCGAGUAGCACGGGGCUCGUGGAAUCUCGUGUGAAUCUGCCAGGACCACCUGGUAAGUCUAAAUACUUCUUAGUGACCGAUAGUGAAUCAGUACCGUGAGGGAAUGGUGAAAAGUACCCCGGGAGGGGAGUGAAAUAGUACCUGAAACCGUGUGCUUACAAGCCGUUGGAGCCUUUUGGGGUGACAGCGUGCCUUUUGAAGAAUGAGCCUGCGAGUUAGUGUUAUGUCGCGAGGUUAACCCGUGUGGGGUAUCCGUAGCGAAAGCGAGUCUGAAUAGGGCGUUUGAGUGGCAUGACCUAGACCCGAAGCGGAGUGAUCUAUCCAUGGCCAGGUUGAAGCGACGGUAAGACGUCGUGGAGGACCGAACCCACUUCAGUUGAAAAUGGAGGGGAUGAGCUGUGGAUAGGGGUGAAAGGCCAAUCAAACUCUGUGAUAGCUGGUUCUCCCCGAAAUGCAUUUAGGUGCAGCGUUACGUGUUUCUUGCCGGAGGUAGAGCUACUGGAUGGCCGAUGGGCCUUCACGGGUUACUGACGUCAGCUAAACUCCGAAUGCCGGUAAGUGAGAGCGUAGCAGUGAGACAGUGGGGGAUAAGCUUCAUUGUCGAGAGGGAAACAGCCCAGACCACCAACUAAGGCCCCUAAGCGUGUGCUAAGUGGGAAAGGAUGUGGAGUUGCUUAGACAACCAGGAGGUUGGCUUAGAAGCAGCCAUCCUUGAAAGAGUGCGUAACAGCUCACUGGUCAAGUGAUUCUGCGCCGAUAAUGUAGCGGGGCUCAAGUACACCGCCGAAGUUGUGGCAAUGAUCUUUUUUGGAUUGUUGGGUAGGGGAGCGUCGUGUAGCCGGUGAAGCUGCGGUGUAAACCAGUGGUGGAGGCUAUGCGAGUGAGAAUGCAGGCAUGAGUAGCGAAAGAUGAGUGAGAAACUCAUCCGCCGGAUGAUCAAGGGUUCCAGGGUCAAGUUAAUCUGCCCUGGGUUAGUCGGGGCCUAAGGCGAGGCCGACAGGCGUAGUCGAUGGAUAACGGGUUGAUAUUCCCGUACCGGUGAAAAACCGCCCAUACUGAUAUUGUGAUGCUAACCAUGCGAAGCAUGAUGUGCAGGCUUUUGUUUGUGUGUUGUGUGGGUUGUGGGACCCGAUCUUUGGAGGUAAACGUGUUAACAGGUGUGACGCAGGAAGGUAGCCAAGCCACGCGAUGGUUGUCGUGGUCUAAGCGUGUAGGGUUGUCGGUUGUUAAAUGCGCCGGCUGUGUGCCUGAGACGUGAUGGGACCCUGUUUUUGGGGGAUUUGGUGAUCCUAUGCUGCCGAGAAAAGCAUCGGCGUGAGGUUUUAGCCGCCCGUACCCUAAACCGACACAGGUGAUCAGGUAGAGAAUACUAAGGCGAUCGAGAGAAUCAUGGUUAAGGAACUCGGCAAAAUGCCCCCGUAACUUCGGGAGAAGGGGGACCUUGAGCGUGAUGGGCACUUGCUGCCUGGAGCGUGUAUGGGUCGCAGAGACCAGGGGGAAGCGACUGUUUAUCAAAAACACAGGUCCGUGCGAAGUCGUAAGACGAUGUAUACGGACUGACUCCUGCCCGGUGCUGGAAGGUUAAGAGGAUUGGUUAGCCUUUUUU